AACCUAGCACACCUGCGGUGUGUACCUGCGGAGGGAUCAUUAAUGAGAAACUGCCCCUCGCGGGUAGAUCUCCCACCCUUUGUAAACUUACCUUUGUUGCUUUGGCAGGCCCGUCUCCGGACCGCCGGCUUCGGCUGGCCAGUGCCUGCCAGAGGAUUCUAAAACUCUGUCUGUCAGUGUUGUCUGAGUCUAUAUACAAUCGUUAAAACUUUCAACAAUGGAUCUCAGAUCGGAAGAGCA
rnacentral:misc_RNA from 1 species